UCGAGCGGGCCUUUCGGGGUCAGCGGCGGACGGGUGAGUAACGCGUGGGAACGUGCCCUCUGGUUCGGAAUAACUCAGGGAAACUUGAGCUAAUACCGGAUACGCCCUUUUGGGGAAAGGCUUGCUGCCGGAGGAUCGGCCCGCGUCUGAUUAGCUAGUUGGUGAGGUAACGGCUCACCAAGGCGACGAUCAGUAGCUGGUCUGAGAGGAUGAUCAGCCACACUGGGACUGAGACACGGCCCAGACUCCUACGGGAGGCAGCAGUGGGGAAUAUUGGACAAUGGGCGCAAGCCUGAUCCAGCCAUGCCGCGUGAGUGAUGAAGGCCUUAGGGUUGUAAAGCUCUUUUAUCCGGGACGAUAAUGACGGUACCGGAGGAAUAAGCCCCGGCUAACUUCGUGCCAGCAGCCGCGGUAAUACGAAGGGGGCUAGCGUUGCUCGGAAUCACUGGGCGUAAAGGGCGCGUAGGCGGCGUUUUAAGUCGGGGGUGAAAGCCUGUGGCUCAACCACAGAAUGGCCUUCGAUACUGGGACGCUUGAGUAUGGUAGAGGUUGGUGGAACUGCGAGUGUAGAGGUGAAAUUCGUAGAUAUUCGCAAGAACACCGGUGGCGAAGGCGGCCAACUGG
rnacentral:rRNA from 1 species